rnacentral:lncRNA from 1 species
AUGAUGGUGAAGGGUGGCCGAGCCCAGGAGGAGGUUGCGAGCCUGUGGUCGAGACAGCAAAGCCCUCCUGAUUUUGAGGAGUUGUUUUUGGGGAGUGACAGGCGGACAAAAUCAGUGACCCCCUUCUGGAACAUUCCUCCUCCACACUUCCACUUGGACCCCAGCCUUUGGCCAAUAUCCCCCCUCUCCAACUACCCCCAUUCACCCCUGGGGGUCUCACUUCCUGGAGCCAUGGUGGAGUUGGGCUUGGUCAGUGCCCCAGUGAUGUCAACGCCUGCUUGGAACAAAGACCCCAGCUCAGCCUGUGAGGCUCUCAGCCCCCAAAUGGAUCGUGGAAACGUGUCUUACCCUGAGAGGAGGGUUCUGACCCUGAGGGGGGCAUCUGACCCCUGGAGAAGGGUCCUGAGGCUGCCAAGAACCCAGGUGGGCAGGGUGGGCCCUCUCGAGGAUCUAAGGGAGAAUGCGUGCCUGGCCUUUUCCAGCUUCUAGAGCCGCAUCCUGCACAUCCCUUGGCUCACGGCCCCCCUUCCUCCAUCUUCAAAGCUGGUGGGGUAGCAUCUUCUCUCUGAUGCUUCCCUCUGCUCCAUCCUCAGCUGGUCUUCUCUUGUGUGUCCAAUCUCCCUCUGCGUCCGUCCUCUGAGGACAGUUGUGAUGACGUUUAGUACCCACCCACGUAAUCCAGGAUCAUCUCCCAUCUCAUGAUCCUUAACUAAACUGCAUAUGCAAAGACCCCUUUUCCACAUAAGGUCACAUGGUCACAGGUUCCAGCAAGAAGGACCUGGGUGGGUAUCUUUUAUGGGCCACCACUCAGCCCCCUACCCCACUCAGCAAACCUUUGUGUAACAUCUCCUGGGAGCCAGACUCCACCUUCCGGGACAUGCUGGUGGUCGCCAGAUUCUGGCAGCUUCUGCGGCUUCAAUUUCAGAACCUGAGCCCUGGGACCCACCUGGCAUGCCUGGGUGGAGGACAGGGAAGUGAUGGAGCCUCUGUCCUGCUCAGGGCUCACUUGGCUGGGGCAUUGUGGCCCAGGGUCACCCUGCUCCGCAUGGCCAGCUGUCAGAAACAGCUGGUCGCCCAUGCCCUGGGUGAAUUUGAUGGCCUCUCCAUCUUUCUGCUCAGUGAAAGACUUGCCCUCAGUCCCUCCACCCGGGGCCCCUGACCACUGACCCUGCUCCUUCCAGACCCUCGUCCUGUGCCGCUACAGUCCUGGCCCCAAUCCAGCUGGACACACACAGGGCUGUCCCCUGGGCUUUCUGCAGCACCGGGC